GCCGGCGUAGCUCAGGGGUGGAGCGAGGGUCUCAUAAUCCCUAGGUCGUGGGUUCGAGUCCCACCGCCGGCACCA
rnacentral:tRNA from 1 species